AGUGAACGCUGGCGGUAGGCCUAACACAUGCAAGUCGAACGGCAGCACAGUAAGAGCUUGCUCUUACGGGUGGCGAGUGGCGGACGGGUGAGGAAUACAUCGGAAUCUACUUUUUCGUGGGGGAUAACGUAGGGAAACUUACGCUAAUACCGCAUACGACCUACGGGUGAAAGCAGUGGAUCUUCGGACCUUGCGCGAUUGAAUGAGCCGAUGUCGGAUUAGCUAGUUGGCUGGGUAAAUGCCCACCAAGGCGACGAUCCGUAGCUGGUCUGAGAGGAUGAUCAGCCACACUGGAACUGAGACACGGUCCAGACUCCUACGGGAGGCAGCAGUGGGGAAUAUUGGACAAUGGGGGGAAGCCUUAUCCAGCCAUACCGCGUGGGUGAAGGAGGCCUUCGGGUUGUAAAGCCGUUUUGUUGGGAAAGAAAAGCAGCAGGUUAAUACCCCGCUGUUCUGACGGUACCCAAAGAAUAAGCACCGGCUAACUUCGUG
rnacentral:rRNA from 1 species